GUGUACAGCCAUACCACUCUGAACUCGCUUGAUCUUGUCUGACCUCAGAAGCUAAGCAGAAUCAGGCCUAGUUAAUACUUGGAUGGAUGAAAGAGAUAGCAAAAAGACAAUCAUGAAGUGUAACAGAUGUGGUAUAAA
rnacentral:rRNA from 1 species